GACGAACGCUGGCGGCGUGCCUAAUACAUGCAGGUAGAACGCACAGUUUAUACCGUAGCUUGCUACACCAUAAACUGUGAGUUGCGAACGGGUGAGUAACGCGUAGGUAACCUGCCUGGUAGCGUGGGAUAACUAUUGGACACGAUAGCUAAUACCGCAUAAUAUUAAUUAUUGCAUGAUAAUUGAUUGAAAGAUGCAAUUGCAUCACUACCAGAUGGACCUGCGUUGUAUUAGCUAGUAGGUGAGGUAACGGCUCACCUAGGCGACGAUACAUAGCCGAACUGAGAAGGUGAUAGGCCACAGUGGGACUGAGACACGGCCAAGACUAAUAGGGGAGGCAGCAGUAGGGAAUCUUCGGCAAUGGAGGAAAGGCUGACCGAGCAACGACGCGUGAGUGAAGAAGGGUUUCGGAUCGGAAAGAUCUGUUGUAAGAGAAGAACGGGUGUGAGAGUGGAAAGUGCAAACUGUGACGGUAUCUUAGCAGAAAGGGACGGAUAACUACGUG
rnacentral:rRNA from 1 species